rnacentral:rRNA from 1 species
GCAGGCUGGCCACCCAGUAAUAAGCACAAGUUAGAAUGAGGGCAACUCGGCAGUCAUUACGCAGGCCCUUUGGUGACUCUAGAUAACCUCGGACCGAUCUCACGUCCCCGUGACGGCGACGAUGCAUUCGGAUGUCUGUCCUAUCAACUUUUGAUUGUUCUUUUUGCACCUACCAUGGUGACCACGGGUAACGGGGAAUCAGGGUUCGAUUCCGGAGAGGGAGCCUGAGAAACGGCUACUGCAUUCAAGGAAGGCAGCAGGUGCACAAAUUACCCUUUCCCGACGCUGGGAGGUAGUGAC